GAUGAACGCUGGCGGCGUGCCUAAUACAUGCAAGUCGAGCGAACGGACGAGAAGCUUGCUUCUCUGAUGUUAGCGGCGGACGGGUGAGUAACACGUGGAUAACCUACCUAUAAGACUGGGAUAACUUCGGGAAACCGGAGCUAAUACCGGAUAAUAUUUUGAACCGCAUGGUUCAAAAGUGAAAGACGGUCUUGCUGUCACUUAUAGAUGGAUCCGCGCUGCAUUAGCUAGUUGGUAAGGUAACGGCUUACCAAGGCAACGAUGCAUAGCCGACCUGAGAGGGUGAUCGGCCACACUGGAACUGAGACACGGUCCAGACUCCUACGGGAGGCAGCAGUAGGGAAUCUUCCGCAAUGGGCGAAAGCCUGACGGAGCAACGCCGCGUGGGUGAUGGAGGUCUUCGGAUCGUAAAACUCUGUUAUUAGGGAAGAACAUAUGUGUAAGUAACUGUGCACAUCUUGACGGUACCUAAUCAGAAAGCCACGGCUAACUACGUGCCAGCAGCCGCGGUAAUACGUAGGUGGCAAGCGUUAUCCGGAAUUAUUGGGCGUAAAGCGCGCGUAGGCGGUUUUUUAAGUCUGAUGUGAAAGCCCACGGCUCAACCGUGGAGGGUCAUUGGAAACUGGAAAACUUGAGUGCAGAAGAGGAAAGUGGAAUUCCAUGUGUAGCGGUGAAAUGCGCAGAGAUAUGGAGGAACACCAGUGGCGAAGGCGACUUUCUGGUCUGUAACUGACGCUGAUGUGCGAAAGCGUGGGGAUCAAACAGGAUUAGAUACCCUGGUAGUCCACGCCGUAAACGAUGAGUGCUAAGUGUUAGGGGGUUUCCGCCCCUUAGUGCUGCAGCUAACGCAUUAAGCACUCCGCCUGGGGAGUACGACCGCAAGGUUGAAACUCAAAGGAAUUGACGGGGACCCGCACAAGCGGUGGAGCAUGUGGUUUAAUUCGAAGCAACGCGAAGAACCUUACCAAAUCUUGACAUCCUUUGACAACUCUAGAGAUAGAGCCUUCCCCUUCGGGGGACAAAGUGACAGGUGGUGCAUGGUUGUCGUCAGCUCGUGUCGUGAGAUGUUGGGUUAAGUCCCGCAACGAGCGCAACCCUUAAGCUUAGUUGCCAUCAUUAAGUUGGGCACUCUAAGUUGACUGCCGGUGACAAACCGGAGGAAGGUGGGGAUGACGUCAAAUCAUCAUGCCCCUUAUGAUUUGGGCUACACACGUGCUACAAUGGACAAUACAAAGGGCAGCGAAACCGCGAGGUCAAGCAAAUCCCAUAAAGUUGUUCUCAGUUCGGAUUGUAGUCUGCAACUCGACUACAUGGAGCUGGAAUCGCUAGUAAUCGUAGAUCAGCAUGCUACGGUGAAUACGUUCCCGGGUCU
rnacentral:rRNA from 1 species